rnacentral:rRNA from 1 species
UACGGGGGGGGCAAGCGUUGUUCGGAAUUACUGGGCGUAAAGGGCUCGUAGGUUGCCAACUAAGUCAGACGUGAAAUCCCCAGGCUUAACCUGGGAACUGCGUCUGAUACUGGAUGGCUUGAAUUCGGGAGAGGGAUGCAGAAUUCCAGGUGUAGCGGUGAAAUGCGUAGAUAUCUGGAGGAAUACCGAUGGCGAAGGCGGCAUCCUGGACCGAGAUUGACACUGAUGAGCGAAAGCCAGGGGAGCAAACGGG